UACGAAGGGGGCUAGCGUUGUUCGGAAUUACUGGGCGUAAAGCGCGCGUAGGCGGUGAUCUUUGUCAGAGGUGAAAGCCUGGGGCUCAACUCCAGAAUUGCCUUUGAAACGGGAUCGCUUGAGUCCGAGAGAGGAUGGCGGAAUUCCUAGUGUAGAGGUGAAAUUCGUAGAUAUUAGGAAGAACACCGGUGGCGGAGGCGGCCAUCUGGCUCGGUACUGACGCUCAGGCGCGAAAGCGUGGGGAGCAAACAGG
rnacentral:rRNA from 1 species